GGGUAGUUUGACUGGGGCGGUCUCCUCCCAAAGCGUAACGGAGGAGCACGAAGGUUAGCUAAUCCUGGUCGGACAUCAGGAGGUUAGUGCAAUGGCAUAAGCUAGCUUGACUGCGAGCGUGACGGCGCGAGCAGGUGCGAAAGCAGGUCAUAGUGAUCCGGUGGUUCUGAAUGGAAGGGCCAUCGCUCAACGGAUAAAAGGUACUCCGGGGAUAACAGGCUGAUACCGCCCAAGAGUUCAUAUCGACGGCGGUGUUUGGCACCUCGAUGUCGGCUCAUCACAUCCUGGGGCUGAAGUAGGUCCCAAGGGUAUGGCUGUUCGCCAUUUAAAGUGGUACGCGAGCUGGGUUUAGAACGUCGUGAGACAGUUCGGUCCCUAUCUGCCGUGGGCGCUGGAGAAUUGAGGGGGGCUGCUCCUAGUACGAGAGGACCGGAGUGGACGCAUCACUGGUGUUCGGGUUGUCAUGCCAAUGGCACUGCCCGGUAGCUAAAUGCGGAAGAGAUAAGUGCUGAAAGCAUCUAAGCACGAAACUUGCCCCGAGAUGAGUUCUCCCUGAGACUUUAAGUCUCCUGAAGGAACGUUAAAGACGAUGACGUUGAUAGGCCGGGUGUGUAAGCGCAGCGAUGCGUUGAGCUAACCGGUACUAAUGAACCGUGAGGCUUAACCUU
rnacentral:rRNA from 2 species